rnacentral:rRNA from 1 species
CCUACGGGAGGCAGCAGUGGGGAAUCUUGCGCAAUGGGCGAAAGCCUGACGCAGCAACGCCGCGUGCGGGAAGAAGGCCUUCGGGUUGUAAACCGCUUUCAGCAGGAACGAAAAUGACGGUACCUGCAGAAGAAGGAGCGGCCAACUACGUGCCAGCAGCCGCGGUGACACGUAGGCUCCAAGCGUUGUCCGGAUUUAUUGGGCGUAAAGAGCUCGUAGGCGGUUCAGUAAGUCGGGUGUGAAAACUCUGGGCUCAACCCAGAGCCUGCAUUCGAAACUGCUGUGACUAGAGUUUGGUAGGGGAGCGGGGGAAUUCCUAGUGUAGCGGUGAAAUGCGCAGAUAUUAGGAGGAACACCGGUGGCGAAAGCGCCGCUCUGGGCCAAUACUGACGCUGAGGAGCGAAAGCGUGGGUAGCAAACAGGAUUAGAUACCCUGGUAGUCCACGCCGUAAACGAUGGGCACUAGGUGUGGGUUUCAACUAACGAAAUCCGUGCCGUCGCUAACGCAUUAAGUGCCCCGCCUGGGGAGUACGGUCGCAAGACUAAAACUCAAAUGAAUUGACGG